CAGUCGCCGCGGUAAUACGUAGGGUGCGAGCGUUAAUCGGAAUUACUGGGCGUAAAGCGUGCGCAGGCGGUUGUGUAAGACAGGUGUGAAAUCCCCGGGCUUAACCUGGGAACUGCGCUUGUGACUGCACAGCUAGAGUAUGGCAGAGGGGGGUGGAAUUCCACGUGUAGCAGUGAAAUGCGUAGAGAUGUGGAGGAACACCGAUGGCGAAGGCAGCCCCCUGGGCCAAUACUGACGCUCAUGCACGAAAGCGUGGGGUGCAAACAGGAUUAGAUACCCCCGUAGUCCCUGUCUCUUAUAC
rnacentral:rRNA from 1 species